AUGAAUAUCGCCCUCCUUACCCAAUGGUUGUGGCGCAUCUCGCAGGGACACGGCGGGUUAUGGUUGGACAUCAUUAGGAAUAAGUACCUACAUGGCCAACCUCUGGCUUUCUGUCAACGAUCUGGUGGGUCCCAGUUCUGGCAAUCAGUCAUCCAGCUGCUUCCCGUCCUCCGCAUUGGGACGCCCAUAUCGGUCGGAUCGGGUUCAGCGACCAUGUUCUGGUUUGACCGCUGGGCGGGUGACACCCCCUUCGCGGCUCGCUUCCCCGACCUCUUCUCCAUCGCUGUCGUCCCGACAAUCUCCAUGGAACGGGCCCUUAUUGACUUAGGGCACCUCGUGUUCCGGAGGCCAUUUGGGCCUCCGGAAGCUUCGUAA
rnacentral:rRNA from 1 species